rnacentral:rRNA from 1 species
UACGUAGGGUGCAAGCGUUAAUCGGAAUUACUGGGCGUAAAGCGUGCGCAGGCGGUGAUGUAAGACAGGUGUGAAAUCCCCGGGCUUAACCUGGGAACUGCAUUUGUGACUGCAUCGCUGGAGUGCGGCAGAGGGGGAUGGAAUUCCGCGUGUAGCAGUGAAAUGCGUAGAUAUGCGGAGGAACACCGAUGGCGAAGGCAGCCCCCUGGGCCAAUACUGACGCUCAGGCACGAAAGCGUGGGGAGCAAACAGG